rnacentral:rRNA from 2 species
CACGUAGGGUGCAAGCGUUGUCCGGAAUCAUUGGGCGUAAAGAGCUCGUAGGCGGCUUAGUAAGUCGGGUGUGAAACCCCCAGGCUCAACCUGGGGACGCCACCCGAUACUGCUAUAGCUAGAGUCCAGUAGGGGAGUGCGGAAUUCCCGGUGUAGCGGUGAAAUGCGCAGAUAUCGGGAGGAACACCAGCGGCGAAGGCGGCACUCUGGGCUGGUACUGACGCUCAGGAGCGAAAGCGUGGGUAGCGAACAGG